GGGGGUAUAGCUCAGUAGUUGAGCACAUGCUUAGUAUGCAUGAGGCCCUGGAUUCAAUCCCCAAUACCGCCA
rnacentral:tRNA from 1 species